GAUGAACGCUGGCGGCGUGCCUAAUACAUGCAAGUCGAGCGAACAGACGAGGAGCUUGCUCCUCUGACGUUAGCGGCGGACGGGUGAGUAACACGUGGAUAACCUACCUAUAAGACUGGGAUAACUUCGGGAAACCGGAGCUAAUACCGGAUAAUAUAUUGAACCGCAUGGUUCAAUAGUGAAAGACGGUUUUGCUGUCACUUAUAGAUGGAUCCGCGCCGCAUUAGCUAGUUGGUAAGGUAACGGCUUACCAAGGCGACGAUGCGUAGCCGACCUGAGAGGGGGAUCGGCCAAACUGGAACUGAGACACGGUCCAGACUCCUACGGGAGGCAGCAGUAGGGAAUCUUCCGCAAUGGGCGAAAGCCUGACGGAGCAACGCCGCGUGAGUGAUGAAGGUCUUCGGAUCGUAAAACUCUGUUAUUAGGGAAGAACAAAUGUGUAAGUAACUAUGCACGUCUUGACGGUACCUAAUCAGAAAGCCACGGCUAACUACGU
rnacentral:rRNA from 1 species